rnacentral:pre_miRNA from 1 species
AUAAUACUUCCUCCAUCCCAAAAUUCUUGUCUUAGAUUUGUCUAAAUACGGAUGUAUCAAGUCAUAUUUUAGUAUUAGAUACAUCUGUAUCUAGAAAAAUUUAAGACAAGAAUUUUGAGACGAAGGGAGUACUAA